UGGGGAAUAUUGCACAAUGGAGGGAACUCUGAUGCAGCGACGCCGCGUGAACGAAGAAGGCUUUCGAGUCGUAAAGUUCUUUUAUAUGGGAAGAUAAUGACGGUACCAUAAGAAAAAGCCCCGGCUAACUACGUGCCAGCAGCCGCGGUAAUACGUAGGUGGCAAGCGUUGUCCGGAUUUAUUGGGCGUAAAGCGAGCGCAGGCGGUCAAUUAAGUCUGAUGUGAAAGCCCCCGGCUCAACCGGGGAGGGUCAUUGGAAACUGGUUGACUUGAGUGCAGAAGAGGAGAGUGGAAUUCCAUGUGUAGCGGUGAAAUGCGUAGAUAUAUGGAGGAACACCAGUGGCGAAGGCGACUCUCUGGUCUGUAACUGACGCUGAGGUUCGAAAGCGUGGGUAGCAAACAGG
rnacentral:rRNA from 1 species